rnacentral:rRNA from 1 species
GACGAACGCUGGCGGCGUGCUUAACACUUGCAAGUCGAACGGAGUGGCGAACGGGUGAGUAACACGUGUGUGACCUGCCCUGCACUUCGGGACAAGCCUGGGAACAUGGGACUAAUACCGGAUAGUGUGGGCUGGGUCCGCGGCCUAUCCGCUUGUUGGUGGGGUAAUGGCCUACCAAGGCGGAGACUGUUAGCCGGCCUGAGAGGGUGGACGGACACAUUGGGACUGAGAUAGUGCCCAAACACCUACGGGAGGCAGCAGUGGGGAAUAUGGCACAAUGGGGGAAACCCUGAUGCAGAGACGCCGCGGGCGGGAUGACGGCCUUCGGGUGGUGAACCGCAUUCAGCCAUGACGCGGUAGUGGCAGAAGAAGCACCGGCUAACUCCGUGCCAGCAGCCGCGGUAAUUC